UAAAUUUUAAAAGUCAACCCCACUUUUUUGGUGAUCGAAGCAAAUUAGAUAUCUAAUUUUAAAAUUUGAUGGCUAAUUUGGUCUGUGUUGUGUGGUUUUUGGUUAAAAGAAAAAUUAGAGGUCUGAUUUUCAAAAUUUGAUAGCUACAGUCAACCUAAAAAUAACUUUGUAAGUAAAAUUAAAAUUAGACCGAUAAUUUUAAAAUUAGACAAUUAAUUUUAUCAAUUUACGGACCUACCAUAUCAACAAAAAAAUGAAAUAAUGAUUAAUUUGUCUAUUCUGAUUUGAACUUCCCUUAGCUAGUUUUCACGUAUGCCUACAUUGAUUUUAGGGUG
rnacentral:misc_RNA from 1 species